AGAAAAUCUUCUGUGCUUAGCUUCACUAGGGUGUCAACACUUAAUACUAGUUAUGUAGAAUUACAACUUUAUAUUUAUUACAGUAAAUAUACAGGCAUGUAGGGAAAAAUUCUAGAAAAGUUUUUCUUAGUAUAUUAAACAUUUUAAUCACUAUUUCACCUUUGAAGAUCAUUCUCUCUUGCACAGAGCACUAAAUUCAGUAUGAGAUCUGCUAUGAUGUUUCUCUCUUAUAUGUAACCAAGAAAUUUCCCAUGCUGUCACUAAGAAUCAGGUAUUCCUCCUGCUUUCUGCUAAAGGACCUAAAAUUAUAUUGGAAAUAUCAUCAAAGGAUAAAUAAUACUGGAUCUUCUUUUGGUUACAUUUAUAGGAGCUGCCACUCAGUGGCCAUGUCCAGGGCACAUUGGCCCUCAGCCCUAGCCACUCUCCCAUGGCCAGCGCACAAGGCCACCACAGCCUGGUCCCGACAUGAUGCCCAAAACUGGCGGGUAGGAGGGGCAUCUGCUUCACUGCUUCUCAAUAUUGGACCAGUUUCUUAAAACUAUUUUCCAGGAAUAGACAAACCCUACCUGCAAACCAAGAAGAUAGAUUUUGGCCUAUGUUUAGCAAUAUUCUCUUGCCAUGAUGGAGAGUAGCCUCUCAUGAACAUACGGUUAUAAAUCUGUCAAUCACUCUGUGUAACUUCUCAAAUGAAGCAGCUAAAGCCAUAGCUGCCCAACAAAAAUCUUUAAACUCUUUAGCCACAGUAGUAAUGGAUAACAGAAUACCCCUAGACUAAGUAUGGGUGGAACAGGAAGGAGUUUAUAUGGUAGCUAACAUAUCAUGUUGUGUUUACAUCAAUACAUCUUCUGAAGUUGAAACACACAUGAAAUAAGAAGACAACAAGCUAAUUAAUUACAACGAAUUCCCAGGGAAGAACCAGGUGCCAACUGGUUCUCAGAUAUAUUUUUCUGAAUCCCACAUAGAAUUCAAUGUAUGCCCCCAAGCCAUACUAAAAUUAAGACUUUACCUAUUACUAAUGCUCAUUUUUGGACAUUUGGUUAUCAAAUGCUGCCUCUGAUGUUAAACUUUUAAACUGUUAAAAGAUAAACCAAUGUAUUAAUAAUGCUAAAUGUUAAUAUGUACCAGAUAUUAGAGAAUAUCUUCAACUUAAUGCAAAACGAUUUCAUCCUUUAGGCCCAAACCUUCACCCCUAGUCAUUAGGAAAAAGCUAGAAUGGAUGUUGCCCAUAAUCCCUCAUGACUGAAGAAUGCACGUAGAACAGGGGGGAUUGAAACCACGACCCAAAGAGUUAGUUAAAGAAUCCAAUGGCUAAAAGAAGUUAUUGAGUUUGCAGGUUGACAGAUUAAAAAAAGAAGAGGAGGAAACAACAACAACAAAACAACAAUAACAACAACAACAACAAAAAUUUGCUGAAACACUGAAACUCCCUUUGCUUAUUAACUAAAAAACACUGACUGAAAUUGGUUGGACCCAAUAAGGCCAACUAGAGUCUGCAAAGAAUGAGCUUGCUGACAUUGCAACUUGAAUUUUCACUGCAUGUUUCAUAACAGCUCCCUCCAACUUUGCACAUGUGAGCCAUAAGAUAGUAUGAAGUUAACUGUAUGCCCAAGGACUUUCUAGACCUUCUCUUUCCUUCCACCAAUUAUUUGGUCAUCUCAGAAUCCACCUCCUGAAACUUUUUGGAUACAAAUACUGCUUUGAAGCCAGCAUGGAGAGACAAACUUGAGUUUGACAUGCCUGUCUUGUGAGUCAACUUGCAAAAUAAAGCUUUCCUUUUCUCAA